rnacentral:rRNA from 1 species
UACGUAGGGGGCAAGCGUUGUCCGGAUUUAUUGGGCGUAAAGAGCGUGUAGGCGGCUUUACAGGUCCGUUGUGAAAACUCGAGGCUCAACCUCGAGACGCCGGUGGAAACCGUAAGGCUAGAGUCCGGAAGAGGAGAGUGGAAUUCCUGGUGUAGCGGUGAAAUGACGCAGAUAUCAGGAAGAACACCCGUGGCGAAGGCGGCUCUCUGGGACGGUACUGACGCUGAGACGCGAAAGCGUGGGGAGCGAACAGG